rnacentral:rRNA from 1 species
GCCAGCAGCCAUAUCACCCUGAAACGUACAACUCACAACCCACUGAAGCUCAGCAGGCGUGAGCCUGACCAGUACCUAGAUAGGAGACCCUGGGAAAGCAAAGGUUGCUGCUGGAA